ACGCUCGACACCUACGGGAGUCAGCAGUGGGGAAUAUUGCACAAUGGGGGAAACCCUGAUGCAGCGACGCCGCGUGAGUGAAGAAGUAUUUCGGUAUGUAAAGCUCUAUCAGCAGGGAAGAAGAUGACGGUACCUGAGUAAGAAGCCCCGGCUAACUACGUACCAGCAGCCGCGGUAAUCUGAGCGGGCUGGCAAGGC
rnacentral:rRNA from 1 species